GCCCUUGUGGCGCAGUGGUAGCGCACUUACAAAUGUUUGCGCCCGUCGAAUCCGCUUAUGUAGGCCGCGUCGGUUCGAUUCCGGCCAAGGGCA